rnacentral:tRNA from 1 species
GGGAAUGUCGGGAUAGCUCAGUGGU